UGGUGGGUCGGUGGUUGUUGGAAGUACGAUGUAGCCCCCUGUUACAUCGUGUUUGGAGUAUAAUUAAUCUUAAGGAAAAUGGUACAAAAAUCAAGUUGAAUUUUUCACCUGGUUGGACGACUGGUCAUAUAAACUGAUGUGUGAAGGGAUGUCGGGCAUCAUAAAUUAUUAGCGUAACUCCCAUUCAAGGUACUGAUUCUUAGGUUCUGUUUUACUUUUUUUAAAUUCUUUGUCAAAGGUGGAUACCAAAUAGGCUGUUCCAGCGAACAAACAGUAACUGAAAACUGUAGAUGGAUGACCAAGCAACCUCAGAUCUCAAGUUUCUGGAUAAUAAUAUUGGAAAACCAGUCUCAGACGAGAACAAGCACACCAGCAGCAAGCAUUUCAGAAUAUGUCUACCAGACACGCGAAUUGUUCACACGCUUAUAGGAUUAAUAAUUGGACAAUCUUGGGGAUGGCAUUCAAAAUGCCCUUCCAAAACCUGCAGUCAGAAGUCCCUUAGGUUUUCCUAAAUAAUGGCAGACGUUCGAAAAGAGUGGAGUUGGUUGAGGAAAGACGUUUGAAAACAGAUAACCGUUGUAAGCGCGGCCAGAAAUCGCCACAACCCAUUUAUUAUCUGUCACAUUGCGGUAUUUGUCAUACAUAAAUUGAAGUGCAUAUC